rnacentral:rRNA from 1 species
AGGUUGACCUCGGAUCAGGUAGGGAUACCCGCUGAACUUAAGCAUAUCAAUAAGCGGAGGAAAAGAAACCAACAGGGAUUGCCUCAGUAACGGCGAGUGAAGCGGCAAGAGCUCAAAUUUGAAAGCUGGCUCCUUCGGGGUCCGCAUUGUAAUUUGCAGAGGAUGUUUCGGGAGCAGCCCCCAUCUAAGUGUCCUGGAACGGACCGUCAUAGAGGGUGAGAAUCCCGUAUGGGAUGGGGUGUCUGCGCCCAUGUGAAACUCCUUCGACGAGUCGAGUUGUUUGGGAAUGCAGCUCUAAAUGGGUGGUAAAUUUCAUCUAAAGCUAAAUAUUGGCCGGAGACCGAUAGCGCACAAGUAGAGUGAUCGAAAGAUGAAAAGCACUUUGAAAAGAGAGUUAAAAAGCACGUGAAAUUGUUGAAAGGGAAGCGCUUGCGAUCAGACUCGCCUUGGGGGUUCAGCCGGCAUUCGUGCCGGUGUACUUCCCCCAGGGCGGGCCAGCGUCGGUUUGGGUGGCCGGUCAAAGGCCCUUGGAAUGUAACGCCUCUCGGGGCGUCUUAUAGCCAAGGGUGCCAUGCGGCCUACCUGGACCGAGGAACGCGCUUCGGCUCGGACGCUGGCAUAAUGGUCGUAAGCGACC